rnacentral:rRNA from 1 species
UGGGGAAUAUUGGACAAUGGGGGAAACCCUGAUCCAGCGACGCCGCGUGUGUGAAGAAGGCCUGCGGGUUGUAAAGCACUUUUAGUGGGGACAAAAAGCUACGGAUUAAUACUCUGUGGUCUUGAUUUAACCCAAAGAAAAAGCACCGGCUAACUCUGUGCCAGCAGCCGCGGUAAUACAGAGGGUGCGAGCGUUAAUCGGAAUUACUGGGCGUAAAGCGCGCGUAGACGGUUUUGUAAGUCAGAUGUGAAAUCCCUGGGCUCAACCUGGGAACUGCAUUUGAGACUGCAUGGCUAGAGUAUCGAAGAGGGAAGUGGAAUUUCCGGUGUAGCGGUGAAAUGCGUAGAUAUCGGAAGGAACACCAGUGGCGAAAGCGACUUCCUGGUCGAAUACUGACGUUCAUGUGCGAAAGCGUGGGGAGCAAACAGG